rnacentral:rRNA from 1 species
AGCAGCCGGCGGUAAUACGUAGGGUGCAAGCGUUGUCCGGAAUUAUUGGGCGUAAAGAGCUCGUAGGCGGUUUGUCGCGUCUGCUGUGAAAUCCCGAGGCUCAACCUCGGGGCUUGCAGUGGGUACGGGCAGACUAGAGUGCGGUAGGGGAGAUUGGAAUUCCUGGUGUAGCGGUGGAAUGCGCAGAUAUCAGGAGGAACACCGAUGGCGAAGGCAGAUCUCUGGGCCGUAACUGACGCUGAGGAGCGAAAGCAUGGGGAGCGAACAGGAUUAGAUACCCUGGUAGUCCAUGCCGUAAACGUUGGGCGCUAGAUGUAGGGACCUUUCCACGGUUUCUGUGUCGUAGCUAACGCAUUAAGCGCCCCGCCUGGGGAGUACGGCCGCAAGGCUAAAACUCAAAGGAAUUGACGGGGGCCCGCACAAGCGGCGGAGCAUGCGGAUUAAUUCGAUGCAACGCGAAGAACCUUACCAAGGCUUGACAUACACCGGAAACGGCCAGAGAUGGUCGCCCCCUUGUGGUCGGUGUACAGGUGGUGCAUGGUUGUCGUCAGCUCGUGUCGUGAGAUGUUGGGUUAAGUCCCGCAACGAGCGCAACCCUCGUUCUAUGUUGCCAGCGGGUUAUGCCGGGGACUCAUAGGAGACUGCCGGGGUCAACUCGGAGGAAGGUGGGGAUGACGUCAAAUCAUCAUGCCCCUUAUGUCUUGGGCUUCACGCAUGCUACAAUGGCCGGUACAAAGGGCUGCGAUACCGUAAGGUGGAGCGAAUCCCAAAAAGCCGGUCUCAGUUCGGAUUGAGGUCUGCAACUCGACCUCAUGAAGUCGGAGUCGCUAGUAAUCGCAGAUCAGCAACGCUGCGGUGAAUACGUUCCCGGGCUUUGUACACACCGCCCGUCAAGUCAUGAAAGUCGGUAACACC